rnacentral:rRNA from 1 species
ACGGGAGGCAGCAGUGAGGAAUAUUGGUCAAUGGGCGGAAGCCUGAACCAGCCAAGUCGCGUGAGGGAAGACGGUCCUAUGGAUUGUAAACCUCUUUAGCCGGGGAGCAAUAAGCGCCACGUGUGGUGUGAUGAGAGUACCCGGAGAAUAAGGAUCGGCUAACUCCGUGCCAGCAGCCGCGGUAAUACGGAGGAUCCGAGCGUUAUCCGGAUUUAUUGGGUUUAAAGGGUGCGUAGGCGGCCUCUUAAGUCGGCGGUGAAAUUUCCGGGCUCAACCCGGUCACUGCCGUCGGAACUGGGGGGCUUGAGUGCGUUUGGGGUGGCUGGAAUGUGCGGUGUAGCGGUGAAAUGCAUAGAUAUCGCACAGAACGCCGAUCGCGGAGGCAGGUCACCAAGCCGCAACUGACGCUGAGGCACGAAAGCGCGGGGAUCGAACAGGAUUAGAUACCCUGGUA